GAUGAACGCUGGCGGCGUGCUUAACACAUGCAAGUCGAACGGGAAAUAUUUCAUUGAGACUUCGGUGGAUUUGAUUUAUUUCUAGUGGCGGACGGGUGAGUAACGCGUGGGUAACCUGCCUUAUACAGGGGGAUAACAGUCAGAAAUGGCUGCUAAUACCGCAUAAGCGCACAGAGCUGCAUGGCUCAGUGUGAACAACUCCGGUGGUAUAAGAUGGACCCGCGUUGGAUUAGCUAGUUGGUGGGGUAACGGCCCACCAAGGCGACGAUCCAUAGCCGGCCUGAGAGGGUGAACGGCCACAUUGGGACUGAGACACGGCCCAGACUCCUACGGGAGGCAGCAGUGGGGAAUAUUGCACAAUGGGGGAAACCCUGAUGCAGCGACGCCGCGUGAAGGAAGAAGUAUCUCGGUAUGUAAACUUCUAUCAGCAGGGAAGAUAGUGACGGUACCUGACUAAGAAGCCCCGGCUAACUACGUG
rnacentral:rRNA from 1 species